CUGGAGUGGAUAACUCCAAACUGACCCAAACACCGUCCUUCCAUCUUCAAGGUCAAAACUGUAGAAUGUUCAGCUCUGAUGAGAUAAACUGAGGCUGCUUGGGAGAGAAUUUUUGGAUCUGCCUGGAAUUUGUGCAAUCUGAAAUGAAGACCAUGGAGGCUCUAUGUGAACCACGAGACUAGAAAGAAUGAUGCCCAUUCUCCUGCUUCCAGGAAGGACUGUAUUUUUACACAUAGUAUUUUUGUUCUGACUAUGACAAAAAUACAUACACAUUUUGGAAAGUACAGAAAAUAAUAAAGAAAAUGAAAACAAUCUACAAUUCUACUACCCAAAGAUGAUUACGAUUGGCAUUUGAAAUUUUCUGAGUUUACAAAAAAAUGCCUUUUAUCCUGCCUUUUAAAAAAUGCAUAGCAUUAUAUCUGAA
rnacentral:lncRNA from 10 species